rnacentral:rRNA from 1 species
ACGGAGGAGGCAAGCGUUAUCCGGAAUUAUUGGGCGUAAAACGUCCGCAGGUGGCACUUCAAGUCUGUCGUCAAAGACUGGGGCUUAACCCUGGAAAGGCGGUGGAAACUGAAGCGCUAGAGUGUGGUAGGGGUAGAGGGAAUUCCCGGUGUAGCGGUGAAAUGCGUAGAUAUCGGGAGGAAUACCGAUGGCGAAGGCAGGUCUCUGGGCUAUAACUGACGCUCAUGCACGAAAGCGUGGGGAGCAAACAGGA